rnacentral:tRNA from 1 species
AAUCGGGCGGGAAUCGAACCCGGGCCGCCCGCGUGGCAGGCGAGCAUUCUACCACUGAUCCACCGAU